rnacentral:rRNA from 1 species
GGGCCCGCACAAGCAGUGGAGCAUGUGGUUUAAUUCGAUGCAACGCGAAGAACCUUACCAGGGUUUGACAUCCUGCGAAUCUCUUGGAAACAGGAGAGUGCCUUCGGGAACGCAGUGACAGGUGGUGCAUGGCUGUCGUCAGCUCGUGUCGUGAGAUGUUGGUUAAGUCCCGCAACGAGCGCAACCCACGUCUUUAGUUGCCAGCAUUCAGUUGGGCACUCUAGAGAGACCGCCGGUGAUAAACCGGAGGAAGGUGUGGAUGACGUCAAGUCAUCAUGCCCCUUACAUCCUGGGCUACACACGUACUACAAUGCUACGGACAAAGGGCAGCAAGUUCGCGAGGAC